rnacentral:lncRNA from 1 species
AGCAUAUAUUGCAUACGUGAGGAGUCCCGUAGAGGUAUUCGGCCAAAUGCUGUUCCUACUCCUAGACACAAAUAUUUUACAAAUAGAAGUGGAAGGCAUCAGGAAAACUACUACUACUUCUGUGCAGGAAUCGUCUAGAUGGAUUAAGGUGAUUUGGACUAUGGCUGGGAAUCAGAUUUAGGUCAUGUGUUCCUACUGUAGUGAUCAUGAUAUUAAUAGGUCAUUGAACCAUUAAGCAAACAAUAAACGCUCCAGAUUUAUUUGUCAUUCUUUUUUUUCACUUUUCACCAGCCCAUGUCUUCAGCAGCUGCAUUUUGGAGGGAAAAGGCUGAGAGAGGGUGAAAUUUGGUGCCAUUUUUACCAUGAAAAGAAUACUUCACCCCU